AGAGUUUGAUCCUGGCUCAGAGCGAACGCUGGCGGCAGGCUUAACACAUGCAAGUCGAGCGGGCGUAGCAAUACGUCAGCGGCAGACGGGUGAGUAACGCGUGGGAACGUACCUUUUGGUUCGGAACAACACAGGGAAACUUGUGCUAAUACCGGAUAAGCCCUUACGGGGAAAGAUUUAUCGCCGAAAGAUCGGCCCGCGUCUGAUUAGCUAGUUGGUGAGGUAACGGCUCACCAAGGCGACGAUCAGUAGCUGGUCUGAGAGGAUGAUCAGCCACAUUGGGACUGAGACACGGCCCAAACUCCUACGGGAGGCAGCAGUGGGGAAUAUUGGACAAUGGGCGCAAGCCUGAUCCAGCCAUGCCGCGUGAGUGAUGAAGGCCCUAGGGUUG
rnacentral:rRNA from 1 species